AACGAACGUUGGCGGCGUGGAUUAGGCAUGCAAGUCGAACGAGAAAGAGGGGGCAACCCCUUAAGUAAAGUGGCGAACUGGUGAGUAACAGGUGGGUAAUGUGCCUUAUAGUGGGGGAUAACACUUGGAAACAGGUGCUAAUACCGCAUAUGGCGGAUCCGACACAGUUGGAUUCGUCAAAGGUGUCCAAAUUUAUUUGGGUGUCGCUAUAAGAUCAGCCCGCCCCUGAUUAGCCUGUUGGUGGGGUAACGGCCUACCAAAGCUAUGAUCAGUAGCUGGUCUGAGAGGAUGGUCAGCCACACUGGGACUGAGAUACGGCCCAGACUCCUACGGGAGGCAG
rnacentral:rRNA from 1 species